CGAAUUGGGCAAUAUUUUAGCAGCCAUGCAAUUAUACGAUUUAGGUUGUAGGAACUGAUCACUCCUCUAUUUUGUGUGUGAGUGAGGAUGAGUGAGAGAGAAACUAGGAUAGGAUUGGUGUCAGAAGUGUCCUCUAUUUUGUGUGUGAGUGAGGAUGAGUGAGAGAGGAAUUAGGAUAGGAUUGGUGUCAGAAGUGGGAUGCUCUACUGCAUAGUGCGAUGCGGGUGGACGUAGUUUAAUGGCAUCACGAAAAACGAUGUGUGAUUCUGUCUGCGGGGAGCAUCAGUGAAGGUCUGCGUAGGAGACACCGGUGGCUCUCUUCGUGGGAGAGUGAAGGAAAUUCCUGUCGGACCAAAAAAUGACGUGGACCCGCCCUGACCAGACCUCCACUGAUGAUUGCCUGGGGGAACACGUCACAUUCACGAACCUGAAUAGGACAACCCACUGAAUUUCAACCAUGACAACGACGGCUACCCUUUACUGCUGAAGACAGUGAAUAUUGACCUUUCGCAUACUUAGAAAUGCACCUGUUGACAGAGGUUUGCUCUCACAAGGUCGGCUCAGUGGGAGGGGAACAUUGGCUGAAUGCCCAGACUCUGUGAUUGCAAGGUGUUCUUUACUAAACUAGGAGCAAGCGCUUUGCUGAGAAAGGAUCCACUUGGCCUUCUUUGACACUGGCAGUUUAGAACUGUAUAUGGUAUGUGUAGAAUGUUAAACAUUUUAAACUCAGUGGCACAGCAGAAGCCAUUUACAAAGAUAAUGUACUUGUAAUAAAGCAUUCUUUUAAAACGUU